rnacentral:rRNA from 1 species
UACGAAGGGGGCUAGCGUUGUUCGGAAUUACUGGGCGUAAAGCGUGCGCAGGCGGCUUCUCAAGUCAGGGGUGAAAGCCCAGAGCUCAACUCUGGAAUUGCCUUUGAGACUGAGUGGCUUGAGUACGAGAGAGGUGAGUGGAAUUCCCAGUGUAGAGGUGAAAUUCGUAGAUAUUGGGAAGAACACCGGUGGCGAGGGCGGCUCACUGGCUCAUUUCUGACGCUCAGGCGCGACAGCGUGGGGAUCGAAACAGG